rnacentral:lncRNA from 1 species
CAGGCCAGACACGAAGGUUAUUAUGAUUUAACACUUCACGUUCACAGAACAUUUGGUUUACUCUCUCCUUUUAUGAGUAACAUCAAAGUGACUAUUCAUUUGUUUUGUAACAUGGUCUAGAGGGGGACGCAGCUGAGAAGGCAGAAUGCUAAGACUUAAUUUGCAGCUCUGCCGUUGCUUCUGUGUGAAGAGAAAUUGCCUUUUUUCCUGCCAAACGUUUUUUCAACCUGCAAAACUGUGAUAACGAUUCCUGCCUUGCAUGAGACAUUAAGAAUUAAUAACACAAUCGACUUGCUAACAAAAGCCACUAUUUAGUUAAACUCAGUGUUUUAACAACUCUGUUAUUAUUUUUUAAUCUAGGCCUGCAAAUAAAAAGUUUUGCAGACAAAUUUCGCACACAGAAAUAAGGACCAACCCAAAUUUCUACAAGUCAGCUGUUCCGACCCUAGAGGACUGCCCACUUGGGUUUUUUUUAUGGGCGCUUUUCUUAACCCUUUUAAAAUGUUACGGGCGCGAAAGGUGGCGGCAAUCAGGCUGCAUUCUCCACCCUCUGCACUCAGACGUGUUAAAACGCUGCUACAGGGACCCAAGCAUUUAAAUGUUCUGACUCAGGCGUCUUUUAAAUUCUUAGAGCUGUCUUCACACGCUGCACUGAACGUUAAAUUGAUUUUACAGGGUGUUCACCGGAAAAUGAAGGUAUUCAGAAUGACAACGAUUGAUGAUUAAGCCAGAAAAUUCCCUGUCCAUUGUAAGUACAUGAUUUGAGAAGAAAACAAGAAGAUAAAGAAAAUAUGUAAUCAACCUAUGGCAUCAAAUGAAAAUUUCAGAACAAAUGUUCAUAAUGUGCCAUUUUUGCAAUUGCUUAACACUUACCAGGGGCUUUCAAACCCUGCUCCUCACCGCUUGAAGGGUUGCUUCUUUCUUCACAGAAACUUACUAUACAAACUGGGAUGAGUCUGGUUUACUUUGAGACCCUGUUGAGAACUAGUAUACAAACUAGGUUUGGCAGGAAAUGUGGGGUCUCAAAAAAGGCUGAGAAAUUUGGCUCAAAAUGGGACAGAUUGAAAUAAUUU